GUAAAGAAUGCAAGGAAGUAGUGAGAGAGUAUGGAGAGAUGAUCCUCGAGAUGCUUGUAGCACAGACAAGGCCACAAAAAGUGUGUAGUCAGAUCGGUCUGUGUGUAUUUGAUGGUAGUCACUCUGUCAGUAACCAAAUUGAAUCUGUCGUUAAUAAGAAAGAGAAGCGAGGCUCUGAUCUUCUCUGCACGGCUUCUGAGAUGACUGUUGUCUGGAUACAGAAUCA